GGCGGCGAGGCCGGGGGCUGUGGACCGGCCCGCCGGGGAGGGGCCAGGGAGAGGGGGGCGGCCCCUCGGUCAGCGCGGCCCGGAGGCCAGACCCGGUGCCCAGCUCCCCAGCGGGCGCCUGCCCUGGGCUGUAGUACGGGAGCCUCGGCAGUCUCGGGCGAGAGUUUCGGGAGAGGGUCCCGAGAUCCCGCCUUGCGGGGUUCGGAACCCGGCCCUGGCCCGCGACUCGGACCUACCCCGAGCAGGGCCCCGGUGAGGCCGCGGUGCCCCCGCUUUCAGAGCCCCGCCGCGCGCGGAACCGCAGGAGCAGGACGUCCACCGGCGGUUUGCGAGCGGCGGGCUCGGGAUUCUAGGCUUCUCCUAUUGUGACUAUUUGUAGUUUGUAAGUUUUUUUCUAGUGAACACUGUGGUGUUUUUUCAUUAAGAGCGGCGAUUUUUUCAAGGCGCCUGCAGAAGUUGAGCGGCCCGGCCCCGCAGUGUGAGCGGCCCCUUUCCAGACUGCAGGACUGCGCGUUCCUGGGCCCGGGACCCGGCUCCUCCUCCCUCGGCUCCCCGGCCGGCCCCGCCCCGCCCCCGCCCAUGCCCCGCCCUCCACUCCUGACCCCGCCCCUCCCCCGGCUGCGGCGAAAAUCCGGAGUGGCGGAUUGCCCUCUGCUCCGCGGGAGCCGGCUGUGGGCUCCUGCAGGAGCGGUGCCGGGGGUGCGGCUGACGCCGCUCCGCGCUCCCUCUUCUCACUCUGUCCUGGGCGAGCCACGCGGGGCAGCGCCGCGACCCCAGCCGCCGGCCCUGCCUCAGAAGCGGGUCAGGACCCGACUGAGCAUGCUCGCCCUCCAGCGCAGCGUGGCUCGACCAGGUGGACGCUGCCGGGACCCGGGGUCGGACCGCGCAGGGGAGGCGCAGGUGCGUGGUCCGGCCGCAGGUGCAGGGGACCUGGCUGGAAGGCGGGGGAGGGGCAUCUGGCCUGCAGAACCUCGCUCCACCUCGGAUGCGCUUGAGGUGGGCAUAGGAAUUUGCUUCGAAGCCUGUAACGGAAAAGAAGACGGGAAUGGAGGGCUUACAGGGAAGAGAUUUCACAGGUUCUAGAUGAAUAAACUCAACCCAGACAGAUGCUUUCA
rnacentral:lncRNA from 1 species